UGUCCUCGGCGGGAUUCCAACACGGAACUCUCACACCCUAAGCGAGAAUCAUACCCCUAGACCACCAAACAC